UUUUUUUUCUUCUGUAAGACAGUGAUAUCAGUGCCACAGCUGCCUCAAAUCAGAACUGUUCCCUAAUGAAUCGACUGUUUCUCCGUAUAGAAUUUUCUGAUAGGCACAUUAGAAUAAGUCAUGGAAAUAUAUGCUGGUUCUUUAAAUUAAUAAAUGAAAGAAAGUAACAGCUUCCAACUACAGCAGGAGUCGAGUCCAAGAAAAGACAAGGUCCUGUCAUUUAUACAACUUUGGCUUUGACAUCAUCGAAAAUUCCUACGCAGCUGGACAGGAGUCUCAGGAAUGAGAACACAACCAAUUAUGUCCUUCUGUGAAGCUCACUGGCUGCUCCGUGUGCACCGAGAUAAACACAGCUGUCUAUUCACUGCCUUGCCUACAUCUCUAAGUGAGACACAACCAGUCGAAGUCUGUAUUUCACAGAUGAACAGUUCUAAGUUUGUCGGGGAGGUGGGGGUUUUUCUCCCAGUUUGGGAUAGUGGCUGCUUCCCAUCAAAGACAGAUGCUUCCAGUCUUUUUGGUACAAGCAUUCAGUUAUAUAGAAGGUAUAAAUUCUACUGCUCUAUAGCACAGAGUAGUGACUUUGUAAAUUUCAAAGUAGGUAGGAAGAAUACUUGAGAUGUUCCCAACACAGAAAUAAUACUUAAGUUGACGGAUAUCCCAAAUACCCCAAUUGGAUCAUUAUGCAUUCUAUGUUUACAACAAAAUAUCAUCACAUGCACCACAUAUGUCAAUUAGAUAGUACUAAAAAGUCAAUCCAAACAAGCUUCUUCCCAAAAAACCUAUAUAUAGUAUUUCCAUAGAUCAUUUAAACAAAGAUUCUUAAUUUAUUUUCUAUAAUUUAGUCCAGUAAGCAAAUUAAAUAUGAAAGAAACAUGUAGAAAAUACUAUUAAAAGACAUUGCCUUUCUUCACAAAGCAACUGGGAAAGACCUUGAGUUUGUGCUCUUGCGCAUUUCUGCAGAUGCUUUUAUGGAGGAAAACAUUUAUAAUAUUCCACUUUUCAUAGGGAAGCUAUUAUCAUUGAUAUGUUAUCACUAUGUUUCAUUACACCCUUGAGAACUAGGUAAUAUUGCUUAUAUCAGUUUACAGCAACACUAAACCAUGCAUUUCUUGACAAAACUAAGAAUAAACAAUUUCACACACAAAAAUAGCCUUGUCCUUAUUUAUCUUUUAAAACUCACACCAACAUUGGACUCAAGAGAAAAUACAAACCCAUUUUUAAGAUCCCUCUAGCAGAUGUAGAUAUUUAUGCGUGGUUUACAUAGUUGAGAAAAAUUAUUUCUAAAAAUAUGUUAAGCUCUCGCUAAAUCACUGACAAAAGCCUCAGUGACUAAUGCAUUCAAUAAAUGAAAUACUGCAUGUUUUGGGCUUAGGAAUAUAUUCAAGAAGAAAAUGUGCUUAGAAACAUCAAACAUGAAAUGCUAGUAAUGAUCUUUCUGUUAAAAAAUCAACAAAUCACUCCCCACCCAGAGCCGAAGCUGUGACGGGAAAUAAAAUUUGCUAAGAUUCUGGGGGGGCGGGGGGAAGAACAUAAAAACAUAAAACUACCACCAACCCUAUCUUAAAAGUUUAAUUUUAUGGAACUCAGCCUACCUUUAUGCUUUGUUUUCUGUAUUCUUCCUAGAUACAACGGAACAUAUCUAAAAAUAAAUAUCAGAAGUUGUCUGAUUUGCUUUUUAUCCUAAGCAUAAUGAGCAAACACCAGUGAAUGUGUUAGCUCUUCCCAGAAGCCCUAGAGAAACACGUUCAUCAGAGUUCAAAUCUCUGGCAAACAUCUUUGCCGUGUUUUUAAAAGGGUCUCCAGAGCCAUAGUAACUUCAAUUUCUACGUUGCAAAAGAGAAUGACACACUAUUAAGAGAUUCAAGAAUCCUCAGUAAUUCAAGAGGAAAACAGGAUAAACUACCAACAGACAGACUUUCAGAAAACGCAUUUUGGAGUAAUUGUACUCUUGCUUGAGAAUGUCUAGGGUUGUCAUCAAAUUUCAUCAGACACAAGGCGGUAAUUCUAGAGUGCAUAGUAGUCUUCUCAGGUUGUGUGUGUUUUCCAUUAGAGAAUCGUUACAAGUAGGUCAAUCUACUCUAAAUUUCUUAUGUUUGUAAUUACACAUUUUUGAUUCAAUAUUUAAACAGCAAUUAGUGAUUCAUAAUUAAUCAAUAAUGGUUGUAUAAUUAACACCCUUUUUGAGCUUCAUAUUUCAAUAAGAAAGUG
ensembl:lncRNA